UACGAAGGGGGCUAGCGUUGCUCGGAAAUCACUGGGCGUAAAGGGGUGCGAUAGGCGGGUCUUUAAGUCAGGGGUGAAAUCCUGGAGCUCAACUCCAGAACCGUGCCUUUGAUACUGAAGAUCUUGAGUUCGGGAGAGGUGAGUGGAACUGCGAGUGUAGGAGGUGAAAUUCGUAGAUAUUCGCAAAGAACACCAGUGGCGAAGGCGGCUCACGUGGCCCGAUACUGACGCCUGGAGGUGCGAAAGCGUGGGGAGCAAACAGG
rnacentral:rRNA from 1 species